CAGAUACCGCCCUAGUUCUAACCAUAAACGAUGCCAGCCAGCGAUCCGGCUGCGUUCCUCAAAUGACGCGCCGGGCAGCUUCCGGGAAACCAAAGCCUUUGGGUUCCGGGGGAAG
rnacentral:rRNA from 1 species